UGAUGACUUCAUACCUAGGC
rnacentral:piRNA from 1 species